rnacentral:rRNA from 1 species
GUCUACGGCCAUGCCACCCUGAACAAGCCCGAUCCCGUCUGAUCUCGGAAGCUGAGCAGGGUCGGGCCUGGUUAGUACUCGGCUGGGAGACCACCUAGGAAGACCAGGUGCUGUAGGCG